rnacentral:misc_RNA from 1 species
UAUAUAAUCCCCGGUCCGCGCUCCGCCCACCCAUCACAGCAGCCGCGGACGCUGCGCGCCGGAGCGGUCCAUCUCGCCAGCCAGCCAACCAGCCGAGCCGCCCGGCCGACCCGAGAGCCCCGAGAGCCAGACUCCCUCAGCCAUAGAAGACACCGGGCGGGAGAGACGGACUGAAAAAAUAUAUCUUUUUUUAUUUUGUCCGGGCCUGGAGACCCGCAGCAGGAGCGGAGGUGGGUGUGGGGCCGGGAGCCGGAGCAGGACCGGGAACAGGAACAGGAACAGGAACAGGAACAGGAGUGGGGCCGGGAGCAGGAGCAGGAGCGGGAGCCGAAGUGGGGGCAGGAGCGGCGGCGGCCGCAGCAGCAACAGGGUCGCCCCAGUCCGCGGCGAGGAAGAGGGAGCUCAGUCGUCGUCCUGGGUGAGGUCGAUGAAGAUGGUAGCGGAGCGGGGGGAUCCCGACGAGCUAGACACCGGAGGCCCGCCCCGGGGGGCGGCGGUCUCGGGGGCAGAGGCAGAGGGCGACGGGCGCCGCAUCGAGGAGGAGGGUGAAGACGAGGGGGAGGAGCGAGCCGAAGCGGCGGUGUUCGCCGACCCCGGGCCGGCCCCGGCCCCCGAGGCACCAUGCUGCGCAGAGGACCCCUCGCCGGACGAUGGCGCCUCCGGAGUCUCGCCCUGGGCCUGUCCGCCCGUCCGGCCGCGCCGCAGGCACCGAGUCCGUCUCUGCGCGCGCCUCAGCACGGCCGCCCGUCGGGCCCUGCGCGGGGAGCGCCUGGGCGCCGGCCUCUGGUCGUCCGCGGACUCGGAGGCCUCCGUCAGAUCCUCCGUGUGCACCCCGCUGCUCGAGGCGCCCGAGUCUUCCUCGUCGGGGGAAGACACCUCAGAGUCAGAGUGCGCCUCGGACUCGGACGUGUCGAUAUAGUUCACACCCUGGUGGCUCAUCGGGGCUCGCUGCAUCCGCCGCAUCCACUGCGCCGAUAUGUCAAACAGCGUAUCGACGAGGGCGUGGGUGUUUGCCCCAAACAUGGGGAGCAUGGCCUCGGUCACGCGCUGGCGGUUCAUCCCGUGCUCCUGGAUAAUCUCGACGAUGUUGUCCACGACGGCCUCGCGGAUGGGGUCGCUCUCGAUGACCGUCGAGACCUGCCCAUAAAGCCAGUUGAAGAUGGGGACUCUGGGGCGGGCGCGAGACCCAGACCCGGAGCCCUGCCCUUCGGCCUCCUCGUGGCGCACCUCCUCGGUAUAGUCUUCACCCCAGAUGACCGCGAAGCCCCCCCCUACCGGCUCAUCCUCUUCCCCGUCGACAUCCGUCGCCCCCUCCACGGGCGUCUCCACAAACGAAGCGUCGCUGUCCACGUGGUGGAGGAUGGAGGUGACGCGGGUCUUGCACAGCGGGCAGGCGGUGCUCGUCAGGGUCCAGCGCUGGAUGCAGUCCAGACAGAACUUGUGCAUGCACGGCAGCGUCUGCGCCUCGGUGGCCGCGACGUCCAGGCAGAUGGGGCAGUCCAUGACGGUGAGUGGCGGUAGCAGGCGCUGCGGCGGUGGCGAGGGGCUUCUGGGGCGGUAGAAGCCAAAGAUCCCCCAGGCGCUGGAAGCCUCGGCGGUGGUCGUCCGUCUCCGAGAGACCGUGCAGCCCAUGGUGUCGAGGGCCCCGUUUUUUAACCGGGUGCCCGGCCCCUUUGUUUGUCUUCGCCCGGGGCGUCCACGCCCCCUUCCGCCCGCCCCGUCGGGGCUCCCCACGCCCCCUCGGGCCGUCCCGGGACGAUGGCCCCGGCGCGCGCCGUCGUGGGAAGCGGGCCCUCCCGCGGUGGGUCGACGGCUCCUGGGUCUGAAAGCGGCGCUACGGAUCCCCCGCUCUCACCCCUGGGUCCGUCGCCGCCCCGCGGUGCGUGCGACGCCCGCGAACCCCCGGCCCACAACACACCGGCACCACCGCCACCAUCAUCAUCCCCCCUCUCCACAGACACGCUCACACUCGGGCCACACGCUCCCGUCCUCCGCCGCCACCCUCCCAGCCUCCCAGCCUCGCGGGUCCUCGGGACGACCGCCGCUCACCCCGACGGGGGGGGACGGGGACAGGGAGCGAGGGGGGAGGAGGACGGGGGGGGGAAGAGGGGAACGCGAGCGCGGCGCACCCCGUCGCCGUCCGUGGUGGCGUGCCCGCCACCCCGUCCGUCCAUCCAUCCGUCCAUCCAACCCCCUUCUCCUUUUUCCGCCUCCCGUCCCACGGCACGGCCCCAUCGACGCCACACCGCGCGGUGCGCGCUCUCCAGCCGUCCCAUCCCCCCACACCCCCCCACGCUUCCCCCAUUCGCUUCUCAUCCCGUCAGACCUGCGCCAUGGAGUUUCGAGGACGGGCGCGGGGCAACGGUGGUGAGAGGCGAGCCGGGGGGGUCGAGUGGGCCUCGCACUUUACGCGCACACGCCCCUCUCGCGCACCACACACCACCGCACAUCGCCGAGGUCGGGCGAGAGAGGGCGCCCUCCCCGCGACCCCGCUCGCCCCGGUCCCGACGCCCUCGCACCCCCACAGCACCCCCUUUCACCCCCCCCCCCGCUUCUCCCCGCUCUCUCCGCGCGAUCGCACACACAACACCCGCGCGCAUGCUCGGCUUCUUCACACGGAGGACACCAUGGGCAGCAGAUGGUACGGUCAGCCGCCGGCCGCCGUGCGCAUGUGUCGGGCUGUCGCGGCCAAGAGUAUCAGCGUGGCUUUUUUGUUGGUCAGGGUGUGAAAAAGGCACGCUGAUGCGUCCGCCGCUGCAGCGGAGCUCCUCGGCAGCGAGAUCAUCGACCACCACCACCACAUCGCUCUUCUCGCCCGCGCUCCCCCACCGCCCCCCCCCCCGCCAUCGCCCGCGCCCCUUCCCCACUCCCCCACCCCCGCCCCCUCUCACCCCACCGCCACCCCACACCAUCCCCACCCCCCCGUCCACCCUCACCCCCCAUCGCGUCGCGAGCGCUCUCACACAUGCUUACAUGCACACGCGCCCCUCCCUCCUCGGCGCCCCCGCGGCGGGACCGUCGCAACCCUCUCCCCCGCCGUCCCACCCGUCCGCGGCCCUCCUCUCCUUUUCCCCCUCCCCUUCCCCUUCCCAUCCCCGUUCCCCCCUGUUCCCCAUUUCCCCGCUCCCUCCACCAUCGACUCUCAUCGACGGGCUUCUCCGCCAUCAUCACCACCAACCACCAAUCACCAUCUCCCGCCGCCGCCCGGACGGCGACCCGCGGUGCUCCCGGGGGCGCGUUCCCACUCACAACCCGGUGGUUUCGAUGGCCGCCCCCGGGGGGUUGAUGGGGAUGGGCGCUCGGGGGUGAUCGUCUGCUACCAAACCGCACCACCGUCCCCCUGUCCCUCAUCCACUUCUCGACGGCCGGCUCCCCGCGGGGCGGGGGCUGCGGGGGGGUGGGUGGGUGAUAGAGCAGGCGGGCGGGUCUGGACGGGCGGAGGGGGGGGGGGUCCCGGCCCCUCUCCCUCCCCUCUCUUCCCCCCUCCCCUACCCUCUCUCCGUGCCGACUCGACGAGCGGGGGCGAGGCAGGGUGCGUACCGACCCGCCUACCAGGCAGGCUAGAAGCCUCACGCUGCUGCUCGGCAGCGGGUGGGUACCCAACCCCUCCCCUCAGGACGCGACCGACCGGUGUGGAGAGAGAAAGAUGCCCGUCCCCCCUGCCCCCACCAUCCCCGAUUUUUCGGUUCCUCUCCCCGUCGCGCCGUCGGGCCCCUCGUCGCCAGGGGUUUUUUUGGUGGAAGGCCCACCGGGGUGAGGGGGGGGGGGUUGGUGGUGUGUGCGCGACGGAACGGGCCGCAGGAGGAUCGGGGUGUAUGCACGGUCGUCCCCGUCUCAAACUUCCUCGUGUCCCCUGUUCCCCAUCCUUCCACCCAUACAUUCAUCCGUGCGGUGGUGGGGAUGAGUGGAUGGAUGGAGGCGAGGGACGCGGUGGACCAUGCCAGGCAAGACCUGCGUCACUCGAAGAAAGGGUGCCUGGAUUGGCCUUCGCUUCUUUGCCGGCCACGAGCGACGGCCACCACCGCCCCCCCGACGGGCUCUCUUUUCCCCCCUCCCGCUUCUCCUCUUUCCUCUCCGGCGCGUACCCCACCGUUUUCCCGACGAGGUUCGAGACCCCCCCCCAAAGCAAAGCGAGAGUACCCCACACCCGCACGCACUCCCCGGUGUCGCUCCUUUUCCCCCCCCGGCAGCGCCGGAACCGGGUGCAGGCGGUGGGGGCGAAGAUUGGGUUGGGUGAGAGACUAGAACCGGUGUUCUCAACCCUUCUGGAGCCCUACCCUCUGUGCCUGGACUUUCCAGCGCGCGACACGGGGGGGAGCGGGCACGCGGCGGUGGCGAUGGUGGCGACGGCGGUGGCUGGGCGCGAUCGAGGAGAUGUGGAGGGGUGCCAAGCGCCCGCCGCCCUCCCCCGCAUCUCUUCUCUCUCGCACACGCACACGACCCGCGGAUGGCGAGGAUGUGGGGGGAGAGGUCUCCCGGCGUUAGUGGGUGCUAUUUGAUUCUCCUCUAACCCCCUCUCCCUCGCGGCCCCCUCGACCAUCGUCGUGCAGCGGCGACGGCGGCUCCCACCCCGUCUCUCUCCCCCACACGACCUCGACGCGUCCCGCCACCCCGCCCAGUCACGUCCCACCCCCCGGGGAGAGGGGAGAGGGAUGCACGGGGGUGGGGGUCCCCGCCCCCUCUCUCUGAUCCCAAGACGGUGUUUGUCCCCGUCUCCGGCUCGCACGCACACAUCCCCGCCGGGCGGGCCCCGGCGGGAUGCCCGGCCAGACAAACCGAGGGGGAGGAGAGGGGGAGGAGGAGGAAGUAUAGGCCUCUCGGGGACGGGCGGCGCGUGGCGCCGGAGAGGGGGGUGGCGGGGAAGAGGGAAACCUAGAAGGCGGCCCAUCCCCCGAGAUGACGAGAGCGGAGAGAGGCGCUAAACGGCGCCUGGGGAGUUUGGGGGAGGAGGAGACGGCGCGCGAGGAGCUGGGGGAGGAGGAGGAGGAGGAGGAGGAGGAGACGGCGCGCGAGGAGGAAAAUGGCCGGUCCAACCCUUGGGACGAGAGGUCUCGAAUCUUGACACCAUUUCCCCUCCCCUCCACCCCACUCCCGUCGCGGCUUCGCGCGGGGAGGAAAAUAAUCCGAUCCGACCCCCGGGGCGAGAGGCUCGCGAUCCCACCCCCCCGCUCCCCGGGGGCCGCAAAAAAAGGGGGCGGGGCUUAAAGGGGGGGGCUAAUUUGCAUAAAUUUGCAUGCAUUUGCAUAGCCCCGCCCCCCCAUUUGCAUAAAUUAGCAUGGCCCCUCCCCCCCAUUUGCAUAAAUUAGCAUGGCCCCUCCCCCAAUUUGCAUGGCCCCACCCCCUCAUUUACAUAACCCCCCCCCUAAUCUGCAUAACCCCCCCCCUAAUCUGCAUAACCCCCCCCCCUAAUCUGCAUAACCCCUCCCCCUAAUCUGCAUAACCCCUCCCCCUAAUCUGCAUAACCCCUCCCCCUAAUCUGCAUAUGACAACUUCCUCCGGAAGUGACGCUCUGGCCCCUCCCCCCUCAUUUACAUAUGACCGCUUCCCCCGGACGUGACGCCGGGCUCCUCCCACCCCCCCCCCCAUUUGCAUAUGACCGCUUCCCGGACGUGACGUUUUUGCCGAUGACGACUUCCGCCUCAUUUGCGUAUGACCGCUUCCCGCGCGCAACUUCCGCCGGACGUGACGCCGGUCCCCACGGAUCUCAUCUGCAUAUCGCGCCGGCCCCUUCCGCUUCCCCCGGACGUGACGCCGGCUUCCGGGGCGCGGACGGGGCGGGCUCCGCGGAUCGCAUCGGCGCGCCGAGCCUGCCCCUUCCGUCGCACCGGGGGUCCGCGGGCGGGGGCUUCCGCUCCGCGGCACCCGCCCCAUUGGCUCCCCUCGCGCCACGCGGUCGCCGUCGUCAUCGUCCCGCCGGCCAAUCGGGUGGCAGCGGGGGAGGCUGGGAGUGGGGACGGAAGACGGAAGCCAGAUGAACCUGUUCCGCCCGCUCUCCCACCGCCUUUCCCGCCCCUCCACGACGACCACCCGGGACCACCACCACCAACAACACCACCCCCCCCCACGCACACACUUUACUACUAUCACCACCAGGGGGCGAUGGUUGCAAUGGCAGUUCCCUGUACUGACCACCACCGUGUUUUUUUCUCUCUCUCUCUUUCCUUCCCCCCCCCCCCCCUCGACCACCGCAGGACCACCAUCGUCUAACUCCCACCCGGGACCACCGGGACCCUCGGGACCAUCUACCUCCCACCAGGACCCGCCGGGACCACCAACACCGUCCACCUCCCACCACCACCACCAUCAAGGACCCCCAACAUCCCCAAGACCCUCUACUUCUUCCCACCCAGACCCACCAGGAGGAGGACCCCCAUCUGCUGAGACCCACCAGGACCCACCAGGACCCCCAUCUGCUGAGACCCACCACCACCAAGACCCACCAGGAGGAGGACCCCCAUCCACUUCUUCCCAUCACCACCACCAAGACCCUCCAGGAGGAGGACCCCCAUCACCCCCACCAAGACCCUCCACCUCUUCUUCUUCCUCCCACCAGGGACCCCCAUCCACAAGACCACCUCCGCCCCAGAGACCACCGCCAAGAUGGCCGCCUCCAUCUCCCCAAAAAAUCUCAGAGACUCGAGCUGGUUCAGAAAAUACAGCACAAACUUUAUUUUCUCACUCUGAAAAUAAACUCUUUUCUCACCCGAUGGGAGAAGGAGGAGAAGGGGACCGGGGGACCGCGGGAGGAGGAGGAGGAGGAGAAGGGGACCGGGACGAUCCUCCGCCGCUUCCACCACCGCCGCCACCACCGCCGCCACCACCGCCGCCACCACCGCCGCCACCACCGCCGCCACCACCGCCGCCGCCGCAGCCGCCUCCGGCCGGGGGAUCCGCGCGGAGGAGAAGGAGAGGAGGAGGAGGAGGAGGGCCGCCGGGCCGGGGAGGCAGGCGCCGGGGAGGCAAGCGCCGCCGGGCCGAGGGGACCGAGGCCGCCGCCGCGGACGCGGAGGAGGAGGAGGAGGAGGAGGAGGAGGAGGAGGACGGGGACGAGGACGAGGACGAGGACCGGGCCGGGGGCGAGGGGAGAGAAGACGGAGGAGAAGGGCCUCGAGGAGCCGGUGGAGGGGCCGGAGAGUCAGAGUCAGAGUCCAGCCGGGCCGAGGGGGCGCCCCGCUCAGCGGAGCAGCAGGUAGGGGUUGCCGGCGUCCUCGGCCUCCUCGUCGUCCGAGAUGGCCUCCACCUUGAUGGGCCCGAGCGGGCCGCGGGGCCGGCCGUCGCCGCCGCGGAAGCCGACGAUCUCCACCGCGGCAGAGUCCUCCCCGUCCUCGCCGGGCCCCCGGGCGCCCGAGGGCCGGUGGGUCUCCACGGCGCCGCCGGCGGCGCGGACGCUGGUCUCGAAGGGCGCAAAGUCCCAGCGCACGGCCGGCGGGGCGCCCGCGGCCGCGAGGGCGCCCGGGGCCAGCACCAGCGGGGCGGCCUCGGCGUCGGGCUCCAGCAGCGCCGCGGCGCAGAAGGCGCGCAGCUCGGCCGGCAGGCCCUCGGGGCCGCGGAGCUCGGCGAGGCCCCGGCGACCGCAGGAGACGAAGACGGGCCGCAGCGGGGCGCCGAGCCCCCAGCGGUUGGCCGCGCGGUGCCCGAAGGCGGCGCCCGCGUCAAAGUCCGGGUCCCCGAGCCCGAGCGCGGAGCGCUGGCGGGCCAUGUCCUUGCAGCCGUCCACGGUGGGGAGCACGCGCUGGCGGUAGGCGCGCGGCGGCAGCGGGACCGGGGUCCGGGGCCCGGCGCGGGUGCUCACCGUGUAGCGCACGUUGUCCUGGCGGCAGAGGCGCAGCGGCUCGGCCCCGGGGUGCAGGCGGGCGAAGGAGGCCUCCACGCGGGCGAAGCAGGCCGGGCCCACGAUGGAGCUCGAGUCCAGGACGGCCGCGCGCAGCUCGCGGCACUCGGGCCAGCGCACGGCGCACUGGGCGGCCGGGUCCAGGCGGGCGCGGACGUAGACGUGGUAGUCCCCCACGGCCGGGCCGUCCGCGGGCCAGUCCUCGAUGGUGUCCAGCACGAUGAGCCGGCGCCGCGCCGCGCCGAGCCGCGAGCAGAGGUACUCGACGGCGCCGGCGAAGCCGAGGUCCCGCGCCGAGAGCAGCAGCACCCCCUGGGCGUUGAGGCGGCCGAUGUCGGGGCGCCCGGUCCAGUUCCCGGCCCAGGCGUGCGAGUCCGGCGUGCAGAGGCGGUGGGCGAAGGCGGCGAGCAGCGCCGAGAGGCCGCCGCGGCGCGGGUCCCAGGCCGGGCGCGGGGCGCCCUCGGCGGGCUCGGCGCAGAGCUCCUCGUGGGGCAGCGGGUCGUAGAGCACCACCACGCGCACGUCCUCGGGGUCGGCUAUCUGCCGCAUCCAGGCGGCGCGGCGGCGGAGCGGGGCGCCCGCGGCCCCGCGGCGCGCGGCGAUGUGCGCCAGGGCGGCCGGGUCGAAGGUGAGCGCCGGGCGCCAGAGUUCGGGGAAGACCUCCUGGUCCACGAGGACGCGGGCCACCUCGGGCGGGCAGUAGGCGGCGAGGGCCGCCUCGGAGGGCCGCGGCGUGUGGGUCUCGCCGGCCGGGACGCGGCGGAAGCCGCCGUCGGGCGCGGGGUGCUCGGGCAUGGGCCCGAGCGGGCGCCGGAGCCGGUCGUCCUCGGAGGAGGAGGAGGAGGAGGACAGCAGCGCGGGAGCGGGGUCCGGAGCGGGCCCGAGUCCGAGGGAGCGGCGCUUGCGCCGGGGCCCCCGGUCCUCUUCGUCGUCGCGGUGGCCGUGGCCGUCCCCGCGGAGGGCCGAGCCGGAGAGCCCCUCGUCCUCCUCGCCGUCCCCGGGGCGGCGGGCCCCGGGCGCGCGGCGCUUCUUCUUGCGCCGCUCGGGCGCUGGGUCCGGGCCGGCGGCGGGGGAGCUGGCGUAGCCGGAGGAGCCGGAGAGGCCGGACUUGGUGCCGGGGCUGCCGGACUUGGUGCCGGAGCUGGACUUGGUGCUGGAGCUGGACUUGGUGCUGGAGCUGGACUUGGUGCUGGAGCUGGACUUGGUGCUGGCGGGGCUGGAGGGCCCGGAGCCGGGGAGGCCGGAGGGGGCGCCCGCCGCCGCCGGCGCCGGCGCUGGGACGACGAGGCCGGGCUGCUCGGGCCAGAGCGGGGGCAGGCCGGGCGCGGGCUCCGCGGGCCCGGGCCGCGCGGCGGCCUCGGCGAGCCGGGCCGCGGCCACGUUGGCCGGGGCGAAGAGGGCCGCGGCGUAGGUCCAGGCGGCCUCGCGGGCGCGGGCCCCGUCCACGCUGUAGCGCACCAGCGGCGCCACGGUGCGGGCGACGAGGGCGACAGAGUCCGCGGCCUGCUGCCGCUCGGCCGGGCCGGCCCCGGGGAUCGCGUCGCGGAGCGCGAGCAGCGCGGCGGUCACCUCCUCGAGGCAGGCGGGCCCGAGGGCGGCCGGGGCGCGGGCGGGCGCGGGCAGCCGGAGCGGGACGGGCAGCAGGCGCUCGAGGACGCCGCGGCAGGCCAGGACGCAGGCGUCCGCCAGCUCGCGGGGCACGCGGCCGGGCUGCGCGGCGGCGAAGGCGGCGCGGACGCGGGCGCAGAGGGCCUCGACGGUCGCCUCCCCGGCGCGGGGGUCCGCGGCGCGGCCCGGGUAGGCCAUGUCGGCGUAGGCCCGGCGGAGGCUCUGCAGGAUGAAGGUCUUCUGGGUGCGAUCGUAGCGGCGGCUCAUGGCCACGGCGCUCACCGCGUGCGGCAGGGCCCAGAGCGGGUCCUGGGCGGCCAUGGCGUCCCCGAUGUGCGGCAGCGGCGGGGUCACGCUGCCGGUGAUGAAGGAGCCGUGGCCGUGGGGCGCGUGGACCCGGCGCUGGCAGAACUGGUUGAAGCGCUGGUCGGGGGCCUGCAUCCGCGGGUUCUGCAGCCAGGACAUGGCCUCGCCGGCGGCCCCGCUGUAGAUGAGGCGCACGAGGGCCUCGUGCUGCUUCCUCGAGUCCCCCAUCUCCGGGAUGAAGACGGGCACGGGCCCGGCCGCGGCGCGGUAGCGGGCCGCGGCCUGGCGGACGUCGUCCUCGUCCCAGAGCCCCUCGCGGGAGUCCCCGGCGCCGCCGUAGCGGACGCGGCCGUCGGCCGGAGGGUCGGAGCCGGGCCAGGGCUCCCCGAGCGGGGUGAGCAGCGGCCCGUCGGUCGGCGGGGGCCCGUCGGCCAUGAGCGAGAGGUGGUUGUUGGUGGAGCGGCGCUUCCUGCGCGGGGGCCGGGCGGGCUCCGGGGCCGGGGCCGGGGAGGCCGCGGCGGAGGAGGAGGAGGAGGAGGCGGCGGCGGAGGAGGCCGAGGGCCGCGGGGCCGCGGCGGGCGCCGGCGGAGACGGUGGCGGCCCGGCGCGGGCGAGUGGGGCGCCGGCCCGGACUCCUUCGUCUUCUUCUCCCUCGGAGGAGGACGAGGACGAGGAGGACGAGGAGGACGAGGACGAGGAGGAGGCCGAGCGCCGCGCGGCGGCGGCGGCGGAGGCCCGGGGGGCGGAGGGCGAGCGGGCCGGGGAGAGGUCCGAGUCGCUGCCGCUGCUGCUGGAGCUGCUGAAGCCGCGGCCGCGGCGGAGGGCGCCCUCUCCGGCGCGGCGCCGGCGGGGCUGUCUCUGCGGGGGCGCCCCGCCGUCCCCGGCGAGGCCGAGUCCGUCCUCGUCCUUCUCGGGGCCGCGGGCGACGGGCUCGACGGCGACAGUGGUGGAGGAGCUGGAGUUGGAGUUGGAGUUGGAGGAGACGGGGCUCCGGGCGCCAAGCGGCCGAGGAUCGAGCCGCCUCGCGGCGGCGGGCUCGUCGAGCAGGGGCUCGCGGUGCUGGUGAUGGUGACGACCGCGGUCCCCUCCGGCGGAGGGGGCGCCGCCGCCGCCGAGCGCCGAGACCGGCCCGGCGGCGGGGGAGGCUGGGGAAGCGGGCCCCCGCCGUGCCGGCGCUGCGGCCACCGCUGCUGGCUGUGCUGGUGGCGCCGGGGUCCGAGGCCGCGCCGCCGGCCCGGGCUCACCGACCGGGUCCCCCCUCGCGGGGGACCAUCUCCGCGGGGCUGCCGAGGGGCCGGGGGAGCCGGAGGAGGAGGCCGGGGAGGCUGCGGAGGGGGACGGGCGCCCGGGGCCGCCGGGGGCCCCGGCCUCUGCCGCUGCGAGUGCUGCCGGGGUCGGCGGCCGGGGCCCGGAGCCGGCCCGGGACCGGGGCCCGAGGACGAGGUGACCGUGCUCGGAGCCCUGAUGGAGAGCCCGACCGGGGGACCCGGCGGCCGGGGACCCGGGCUCGUCCUCCUCCUCGUCUUCGUCGUCUAGCACCACGAUCUCGCCCGAGCCCCGGCGGGGCUGCUGCUGCUGCUGCUGCUGGGCCGAAGGAGGACGGGGCGGCCUCGUGGCUCCGGCCGCGGCCGCGAGGACGGCGGCCUCGGCCUCGGCCUCGCCGGCAUCGUCGGAGAAGAGGCCGCCGGGGCCAAAGAGGAGAUCCUCGCCGGAGGGGCCGCGGCGCCGGGAGCCCUGGCUGCCGCCGUCGGAGCCGGCCGCGGUCCCCUCUUCCUCGGCCGCCGCGGCCGCGGCCGCCGCCGCCAGGAGCUGGCUGAAGUUGCCCUCGGUCUCGAUGAAGUCAAAGAGAUCGUCGGCCAUGGUCUCGAUCGGUUCUCGGGGUGUCUCUCUCUCUCGCGCGCCGGGAGCCGAGCUCGGAGAGCGGGUGCUGGAGGGUGAGAGGGAGCCGGAGGAGCGGGCGCGGCAGAAGAAGAAGAAGGAGAGGGCGAAGAAGGAGAAGAAGAAGAGGGCUCUCCUCUCUCUUCCCCCCGGUGGGUCGGGCCGUCCGUCGAGGGCUGAUAGCCGCCGGAGAGCCGGAGUCUUCAGAGUCCGCGCCGGAGCCGAGACGAUCGGAUCCCCUCGGGUUGGCAGAGAACGAUGCUGUCCGUACCUGCACCGCAGUGAAGUGCUACGAUGGAGACCGUGCCUAUAAACUCCCCGAGAAGAGCCCGCCCCCAGGUAAGCGGACCAAUGGCCGAUUUUCGCCGCGGACUUCCCCGACGGCCGGCCAAUGGGAUUUUUCUCGCCCGCUUCCUCUCGCGUCUGCUUUGCAUGCCCGGCCCAAGAUGGCGGCCGCCGGCCAAUGGGAUUUCGCGAGGAACUUCCUCGCGAGGACCAUUUGCAUGCCCGGCCCCCGCGGCGGCCAUCUUGCCCACUCGACGGCCAAUGGGAUUUCUCUCGCCCGCUUCCUCUCGCGUCUACUUUGCAUGUCCGUCCCCCGCGGCGGCCAUCUUGGUCGACGGCGGCCAAUGGGAUUUCUCUCGCCCGCUUCCUCUCGCGUCUACUUUGCAUGCCCGGCCCCGAGGGCGCCAUCUUGGCCCCUCGACGGCCAAUGGGAUUUCUCUCCCUACUUCCUCUCGCGUCUACUUUGCAUGCCCGGCCCCCGCGGCGGCCAUCUCGGCUCGCCCGGGCCAAUGGGCGCGCGGAGGCGUCUCCCGCGCGCCUCUGAUUUGCAUGCCCGGCCCGCUCUGCGGCCAUCUUGGCCGCGGGCGGCCAAUGAGAUUGUCCGAAAAUCCCUCGCGCGGGCGCGAGGCGCAUGCUCGGCACGCGACCCACCCCCGUGGUGCUAGCGAGCCAAUCAGAUGAUUUUCGGGGAAGCUUCCGUGUGCACGUCAUUUGCAUGCUCGCCCCAUGUGGCCGCCCUCGGCCAAUGGGGCCUCACGGUGCAAGCUUCCGUGUGUCUGCACGUGGUCCGCAUGUGUUGUGGUGGUCUCUCAGUGUUUUGUGGUGGUCUCUGUGUUGUGUGGUGGUCUCUCAGUGUUUUGUGGUGGUCUCUGUGUUGUGUGGUGGU